GGUGGCCUAGUGGUUAGAGUGUCCGCCUCGGAUGUGGGAGGUGUUGAGUUCGAAUCCAGGCCGAGUCA